UACAGUCACUUUGGAGUAAGCCCUGGAGACCCUAACAGACUCCUGCUGAAUAUAAGGAACUCAGCAAUAAGUGGGCUUCCCAGGUGGCUCAGUGGGUAAAGAAUCCACCUGCAAUGCAGGAGAUAUAGGAGAUGCAAGUUCCGUCCGUGGGAAGAUCCCCUGGAGGAGGGCCUGGGAAUCCACUCUGGUAUUCUUGCCUGGAGAAUCCCAUGGACAGAGGAGCCUGGCGGGCUACUGUCCAUAGGGUCGCAAAGAGCCAGUCAUGACUGAAGCAACUGAGCAUGCGCGCACGCACAGCAAUAUGCAGCUGGAGUUAAGAAGAUCCGUGCGUCCGAGGCCUCAUGGCCACAUUUUUACAGAAAUAAGUACCCAAGGCACCAAGCAAGCGGACUCGCCACUGGAGCUGUUUCUCCUCCCCAGUGAUGAAGAAUGCGGAGGUAGCAAGGUGUCUCUGAGCGGAGCAGGGUGACCCUUCCCAAGACUGAUGGCAAAGAAUUAAAACUCUCUGUACUAGAGGUUAGAACUGCUGAGGUCAAACUCUAUUAAACUCUCCAAGAAAAUAAAAUAUGGGAUAGGUAAUCCUAAAUGGACUUCGUUUUUUAUCCAUUAAGGGCAAGGUGAGUGAUAAAGGUCUUAAAUUGUCUUCAGAAGCACUGAGUUUAAGUAUCGAUCAUAAUGGGAGGCGUGACAACAUUUAAAUCUGUUCAGUUAAGCACCAGGGCUGACAGGUUCACACCGUGUCAUACUGCUCGGACUUACAUUUUGAUUCAAAGCACUUGCAGGAGUCCUUCCUUUAGGUCAGGCAUAGGACUCCAGAGUUUCAGCUUCGGCCACCGUAUAAGUCACAGCGCAUCACUGCUGGAGUGAGGUUCCAGAACUGACACUGUUUAGGAUGCUGUGGUCACUAAAAUGUCUCCAUGUUUAUCUCAUUUAAGCCUCAUGACAACUCUGUGAGGUAGUGACUCCUGUCUCUCUCUCUCUCUCUCUCUCUCUCUCUCACACACACACACACACACACACACACACACACACUUCCUGCACAGAAAAGGAGACGGAAGCAUGCCUUGCCCUCUAGCACCCAGUCGCAAACAGUCGAGCCAGGAUUUGAACUGAGGGACAUGAACCCCAUGCUUGCAUGCGUGCUAGGUCGCUUCAGUCAUGUCCAACUCUUUGCGACCCUACGGAC
ensembl:lncRNA